AUGUCAAAACCAAAGUUCAUGGGCGGUUUGGGUUUUAGGGAUGUGGAGCUUUUCAACUUGGCACUUCUUGCUCGCCAAGUUUGGAGAUUGUUACAAGAGCCAGAUGCUCUUAGUGCGCGUGUGCUAAAAGCCCGCUACUACCACAACACCAGCAUUCUGGACGCGACUUUGGUGCUCGAUCAGCUAAUCCCCCGGUUUUUGGUCUCUAACCUCCUAAAUCCAGCUACUCGCACGUGGGACAAGCAAAUUCUUGAGGAUCAUUUUAUUGCUGCGGAUGUAGAAGUAAUCCUCAAUAUACCAACCAGAUCUAGGAUGCAGGAAGACUUCUGGGCAUGGCACUAUGACAGACGCGGCGUGUUUUCUGUCCGAUCAGCAUAUAGGAUGAUAUAUGCAAUUAAAGCUCAGAGGGAAGAUUGGCUGGAGCACCGGCCGGGCCAUUCCAACAUCACAUCAGAGAAGCAUUCAUGGUCUCAGUUGUGGAAGGUGAAGGUCCCAUCAAAAAUUCGCAUCUUCGUUUGGAGACUUGCCCAUACUUUGCUCCCUACAGGCCUAGUUCGACACAAACGUAGCAUGGCAGAUACCCCAGCGUGCUCUAUAUGUGGUGCGGUUGAGGACACAUGGCGUCAUUCACUGCUGAGCUGCCGCAUGGCUAGGUGUGUUUGGGCAUUAGGAGACGAGUCUUUGCUUGAGCAUGUGCUAUCGAACCAGAAUGAAGAUGCAAAGUUGUGGCUGUUUUGGCUGUUUGAAUCAACUACCCAAGACGAUCUUACCCGAGUUUUGGUGACAAUGUGGGCUAUCUGGUGGGGGCGACGUAAAGCGAUACAUGAUGAGGAUUUUUAAAGCCCGUUGUCAACUAUGUGUUUCAUCAAAAGGUAUCUGGAGGAGUUGGAUAUUGCCUCUCAUUGCAUGCCAACAAAUCAUGUUGCACGGGCUAAUCGGCCCAGGGCAAAUACAUGGUUGCCACCACCACAGUUUGCUGCAAAAUUCAACUGUGAUGGCAGUCUGUCUACCCUAGGGGAGAAAGGAGCAGCGGCAGUGGUUUGCAAAGACAAGGACGGGACUUAUCUUGGGGCAUCGACACUUGUUUUCGAAGGUUUGUCUGACCCAUCUAGCCUGGAGGCGAAAGCAUGCUGUGAAGCAAUGGCCCUUGAACAGGACCUUCAUUUACAAGACUUGGUGAUUGCCUCAGAUUGCCUGGAAGUUAUUUAAAACUUAAAGGGAGGAGGGUCUCCGGUGUAUGCGCCUAUCCUUAGAGAGAUUCAGCUUAGUACAAACUUAUUUUCUUCUGUUGAUUUCCGUUUUGAGCAUAGGGAAAAUAAUUUCGAGGCCCAUUCGCUGGCUAAAGGAGCUGCGUCUCUGGCGGUGGGCCGCCAUGUGUGGCUAGGGGUUCGUCCGGACAUCGUUUGUAUUCCUUUUGUUAUGAACUCUAAAUAA
rnacentral:rRNA from 1 species